rnacentral:tmRNA from 1 species
GGGGCUGAUUCUGGAUUCGACGGGAUUUGCGAAACCCAAGGUGCAUGCCGAGGGGCGGUUGGCCUCGUAAAAAGCCGCAAAAAAAUAGUCGCAAACGACGAAACCUACGCUUUAGCAGCUUAAUAACCUGCUUAGAGCCCUCUCUCCCUAGCCUCCGCUCUUAGGACGGGGAUCAAGAGAGGUCAAACCCAAAAGAGAUCGCGCGGAUGCCCUGCCUGGGGUUGAAGCGUUAAAACGAAUCAGGCUAGUCUGGU